rnacentral:rRNA from 1 species
CAGUCGCCGCGGGAAUACGUAGGGUGCAAGCGUUAAUCGGAAUUACUGGGCGUAAAGCGUGCGCAGGCGGUUAUAUAAGACAGAUGUGAAAUCCCCGGGCUCAACCUGGGAACUGCAUUGGUGACUGCAACGCUGGAGUGCGGCAGAGGGGGAUGGAAUUCCGCGUGUAGCAGUGAAAUGCGUAGAUAUGCGGAGGAACACCGAUGGCGAAGGCAAUCCCCUGGGCCUGCACUGACGCUCAAGCACGAAAGCGUGGGGAGCAAACAGGAUUAGAUACCCCUGUAGUCCCUGUCUCUUAUAA